UAGCAUAUCAAUAAGCGGAGGAAAAGAAACCAACAGGGAUUGCCUUAGUAACGGCGAGUGAAGCGGCAAAAGCUCAAAUUUGAAAUCUAGCACUUUCAGUGUUCGAGUUGUAAUUUGAAGAAGGUAUCUUUGGAGUUGGCCCCUGUCUAUGUUCCUUGGAACAGGACGUCACAGAGGGUGAGAAUCCCGUGCGAUGGGGAGACCAAUUCUAUGUAAAGUUCCUUCGAAGAGUCGAGUUGUUUGGGAAUGCAGCUCUAAGUGGGUGGUAAAUUCCAUCUAAAGCUAAAUAUUGGCGAGAGACCGAUAGCGAACAAGUACAGUGAUGGAAAGAUGAAAAGAACUUUGAAAAGAGAGUGAAAAAGUACGUGAAAUUGUUGAAAGGGAAGGACUUUUGAUCAGACUUGGUGUUUAGUACUCUCUACUCCUUGUGGGUGGGGCUCUUGCUUUAUACUGGGCCAGCAUCGGUUUGGGUGGCAGGAUAAUGGCAUUGGAAUGUGGCUUCAUUCGUGGAGUGUUAUAGCCUUUGUUGAUACUGCCUAUCUAGACCGAGGACUGCGUCUUUUGACUAGGAUGCUGGCGUAAUGAUUAAAAGUCGCCCGUCUUGAAACACGGACCAAGGAGUCUAACGUCUAUGCGAGUGUUUGGGUGUAAAACCCGUACGCGUAAUGAAAGUGAACGUAGGUGAGGGCCCUUUUCUGGGUGCAUCAUCGACCGAUCCUGAUGUUUUCGGAUGGAUUUGAGUAAGAGCAUAGCUGUUGGGACCCGAAAGAUGGUGAACUAUGCCUGAAUAGGGUGAAGCCAGAGGAAACUCUGGUGGAGGCUCGUAGCGGUUCUGACGUGCAAAUCGAUCGUCGAAUUUGGGUAUAGGGGCGAAAGACUAAUCGAACCAUCUAGUAGCUGGUUCCUGCCGA
rnacentral:rRNA from 1 species